GUUCAGUGUAGUUAGAUUAAAAAAAACAAACAAACAAAAAACAACAACAUCAUGCCUGCUGUGUCCUUCUUUGAUAGGCAGUCUUUUCUAAAAUAUUUCUGACAUUUUUCCUAUACAGAAACAUGCAUCAACAGGUCUUUGAUUUUAAAAAAUAUGUCUUGAGUCAAGAAACGAAUUGGAGCUUAUCUCUGUUCACAUGAAAAGUUGUAGUUGACAUAUUCUUUUGAAGUUUCUUCCACUUUGCGCUUAUCCUUCGGAACAGUUGGUUAAAAAAAAAGGUGGGAUUUUGACAUUCAAUGACAUGUUUCAAACUUGCUGGCAUUUACUCUGUGCAAUUGCACAGAUAGCUUCUGCAGAUGCAGAGAUUUUCCAGUGAGCUGUUUUUUCCCCCCAAUCAUUUUGUCAUGUUUCUCCACAGAUUAAGGCAGCGGUCCAUAGCAGGAUAAAUUGUGUCGGCAUGGUGGAGAAAGAUUCUGCAGGAGUCAAGUGCUAUCAGCAGAGCUAUUUGACUCCACUGUCACCACAUACUGUACUCAAAUAGUACGUGUGAUCUAGUGCUCACCAUCAGGUGGCGACAGAGGCCCAACAAACCUCUUCUGACCCCGCAGAGGGCAGCGCGUCCAUCGCCAGAGAUCACCGGAUAAGACCCGAAGAGGACCGUUUGA